UGGGGAAUAUUGCGCAAUGGGCGAAAGCCUGACGCAGCGACGCCGCGUGAGGGACGAAGGCCUUCGGGUUGUAAACCUCUUUCAGCAGGGACGAAGCCGCAAGGUGACUGUACCUGCAGAAGAAGCACCGGCUAACUACGUGCCAGCAGCCGCGGUAAUACGUAGGGUGCAAGCGUUGUCCGGAAUUAUUGGGCGUAAAGAGCUCGUAGGCGGUCUGUCGCGUCGGAUGUGAAAACCCAGGGCUCAACCCUGGGCCUGCAUUCGAUACGGGCAGACUAGAGUUCGGCAGGGGAGACUGGAAUUCCUGGUGUAGCGGUGAAAUGCGCAGAUAUCAGGAGGAACACCGGUGGCGAAGGCGGGUCUCUGGGCCGAUACUGACGCUGAGGAGCGAAAGCGUGGGGAGCAAACAGG
rnacentral:rRNA from 1 species